CUAGAACAUCGUGGUGAUUUGGCCGGCCGGCUUGCAGCCACGUUAAAUAAGUCGCUAAAGGGCCGUGCGUCACGGACC
rnacentral:ncRNA from 2 species